AUUCUGGGUUCUAGAAUUUUAGAGACACCCAGAUGAAGGGUAUUUCUUCCUCUCCUGUUUCCCCCGAUACCAUCAGCUCUAGCUCUGGAUACCUGCUUUUCAAGUUCUAAAUGAAGACUGUCAUCAAUAGUUUCAUUUGGCUGUUCGGCCCUUUUCUUCAAGACCAUUUUCUUCAACAAAUCAGAAGGCUUCAUCUGCACAAGAUAUCGAUGCAGGACCGAGAUCUGUCAAGAGAAGAGAGACUGGUCAAGUCUGAGCAGUGCAUUCCUUGAGCUAAUUCCAGUGUGCCCAUCCCCAUCCCCCAGUUCUCUGCUACCCAUUUUUCUGUUUCCUCCAAAGUCCUCAAAUGCUUCAGAUCCAACAAAAGGCAGUCCUAUAAGUGCUACCACUGUUUACAAAGUCACCAGAACUCAUCGUGGUGUUCCUAUAUAUGCAUAUUCAUAUGUCUCUACUGACAAGAAUUGGAGGCAAACCACAUUAAGUUCUAUUAUCUAUAAAGACCACGUGUAUUAAAAUAAGUAUAAGAUGUGGUUAAUAGCUCUGAAACUUCUAAUCCUAUCAUCACACUGCUAGUCUUGGGAAACUGAAUAAAUUCUCAAUGUCGUAACUG